rnacentral:lncRNA from 1 species
CCACAACAAAACAAAAAAAAAAAAAAAAAAAAAAAAAAAAAAAAAAAAAAAAAAAAAAAAAAAAAAAAAAAAAAAAAAAAAAAAAAAUCGACCACAACAAAACAAAAAAAAAAAAAAAAGAAAAAUAGAAAAAAAAGAAAGAAAAAUGAAAAAUGAAAAAAAAUGUUAAUAAAGAGGACCUACGGAGUCCAUUAUAUCCUGAUUUUUUUUGAAUCGCAAAGAAAGUUAAGGUGGUUGGUUUGUGGUGAGA